rnacentral:lncRNA from 1 species
UCCUGCCCCAUCGAUGGACUGGACGCUCGUGAUGACCUCACCGAAGAGAGGGGUGCCCCAAUCGAAGAUCUGGUACCAAUCCCUUUGAACGACGGGAACGCGGAGCAUGUAGCAAUGAUCGGCUCCAACCUAGGGGAGGAGGUGCAGACGCGUCUCAUUGAUUUUCUACAAAAGAAUGCGGAUGUUUUCGCUUGGGUUCCAGCAGACAUGCCGGGG